rnacentral:lncRNA from 1 species
UAAAGUGGAAGGAUGUCUUAACUGGUGAAUGGUGUGGCCCAGAUCCCGUAAUUUCGAGGUCUAGGGGAGCUGUUUGUGUUUUUCCACAGAAUCAAGACAAUCCAAUCUGGGUGCCUGAACGUUUGACUCGCAAACUGCCUCCUGCUAUUCGUGAAGAUGAGACUACGAAUACUACUACUACUACUGGAAAUGAUGAUCCAGGUUGAUUCACUCACGCUGUGGGCUAUCGCCAGAUCCUGGCCUGUACUUAUGCCAGUUCAUAGCAAUUCUACUGUUUUGCCAACCUUUUUCUCCACAUCCUGUUUGCGUGAUGUUCCUUGUAUAGUGCCUAGUGGAGAAUUGACUCAACGAUAUACUGCCACUAAUCUUUCACUGUUACAUACUUUAUGUUUCACUCUUAGAAAUUCCUCCCAGCCUUGUAUAUGGCUGCGAAGGACCACUUUGGCAAACUGGUUAGAUCCUGUGAACAACCGUGCUAUGGGCACUGGAGCCAUCCAGGCUGCUCUGAGUAAAAUUACACAAGGGGCCUCCUCAGGCAAUGGAGAUACGUCAAUUGAUAACUCUGCUAAUUCGUACAUUACAACUUUGAUUAUGAUGCAUAAUGGUAGCUUUCCAUCACUCCCGGGGCAAGGCAUUCGCAAACUGGUUAACUCUACCUGUCGUAGAGUCCUACCUACUUGCCCCCCAUAUAAAGCCUUUCCACCUAAAUUUACCCCAUGUCAGAGUCCGUUCCAUAGACCUAAACAAUUCCUACCGGGAU